AUUGAACGCUGGCGGCAGGCCUAACACAUGCAAGUCGAGCGGAUGAAGGGAGCUUGCUCCUGGAUUCAGCGGCGGACGGGUGAGUAAUGCCUAGGAAUCUGCCUGGUAGUGGGGGAUAACGUCCGGAAACGGGCGCUAAUACCGCAUACGUCCUGAGGGAGAAAGUGGGGGAUCUUCGGACCUCACGCUAUCAGAUGAGCCUAGGUCGGAUUAGCUAGUUGGUGGGGUAAAGGCCUACCAAGGCGACGAUCCGUAACUGGUCUGAAAGGAUGAUCAGUCACACUGGAACUGAGACGCGGUCCAGACUCCUACGGGAGGCAGCAGUGGGGAAUAUUGGACAAUGGGCGAAAGCCUGAUCCAGCCAUGCCGCGUGUGUGAAGAAGGUCUUCGGAUUGUAAAGCACUUUAAGUUGGGAGGAAGGGCAGUAAGUUAAUACCUUGCUGUUUUGACGUUACCAACAGAAUAAGCACCGGCUAACUUCGUG
rnacentral:rRNA from 1 species